AUAAUACAAGUAGCAUUCCCUUUUCCAAACUUUCCUAUGCUCUUCCAAAUACUUUACAUUUUCUCCACCUACCCAAAACUUCCUUUCAACAAUUGUGCUUCUAUGUAAAAGAAUAAAGAAGGAGAGGGAAAAAACGAGACACUAAUAUAGAAUUCCCCUUAUCUUCUCUUUUACUUUGACAAAACAAUUGUACCCUUUUAUCAUAAGAAAUGGUCAUGUUAGUAUCAUGGUGGAAAAAUACUUUAAUUGUGUAUUGGAAUUAGAAAUGCAAACUCUUGAAGGACUAGAUUUUUUCGGUAAC